rnacentral:rRNA from 1 species
GGAGUUAGCCGGUGCUUCUUCUGUGAGUGAUGUCCUUCCUGCCGGCUAUUAACCCGCAGGCCUUCUUCCUCACUGAAAGUGCUUUACAACCCGAAGGCCUUCUUCACACACGCGGCAUGGCUGGAUCAGGGUUGCCCCCAUUGUCCAAUAUUCCCCACUGCUGCCUCCCGUAGGAGUCUGGGCCGUGUCUCAGUCCCAGUGUGGCUGAUCAUCCUCUCAGACCAGCUACGGAUCGUCGCCUUGGUGAGCCGUUACCUCACCAACCAGCUAAUCCGACAUAGGCUCAUCCGAUAGCGCGAGGCCCGAAGGUCCCCCGCUUUCCCCCGUAGGGCGUAUGCGGUAUUAGCCUGGGUUUCCCCAGGUUAUCCCCCACUACCGGGCAGAUUCCUAUGCAUUACUCACCCGUCCGCCGCUCGCCACCAGGGAGCAAGCUCCCCGUGCUGCCGCUCGACUUGCAUGUGUUAGGCCUGCCGCCAGCGUUCAAUCUGAGCCAUAAUCAAACUCU